UCGCCAGUUGAAGUGGUUAAAAACAUUUCUUAGCGCAAUAGCGCAAAAGUCUUAGUGUUGUUGAGGUUAGUGACGACUGAGUCGGCCAUGUCAGGUAUGGGCAGCCCUGGAAGUAAUUCUCUGUCAGCCUCCGGAAGCUGUGCCUGAGAGCUUUAAGGGCGGUGACCCCGUAGCAACAGAGCCCCAAUAGGGAACAGCCACAAAGCCCUUCGCUGGGCCCGCCCACCGGCAGCCUAGCCUGGCAGUGCCCGGCCGAGGGUGAGCCUUGCCGCUUUGGUGACAGCAGGAACAUUGAGGCACUUGAGAGAAAAAUUUCAAGGGAAGAUUUGAAUGUGGCUACUAGUGAGUGUGAGCCAGUAUCAGAAGAUGUAGAGCUCCCCAGAUGAAUGUGAUCAGAUCCAGCUAAGAUUCCUGUGCUCCUGAAGGCUGGGAGGUAAAGAAACAUCAGGAAGAGACGCCCUUCAUCUGGUCCAGCCCUAAGCCACAGGCUUCUCAACUUUUCCUUUCAAAAAGAGGGAGCAUGUUUAAAGUACACCGUACCCAGACAGUGAAUCAGAAGCUCUUACUAAAAAUCAGCCUUUGUGAGGACUGGGGAGGGAGGACAGGGGAAGGAUAAAGAAUUAGGACGUUAAAAAAAAAAAAAAUUAAGACAUGUUCUGUGCAUGGACCAGCUCCCCACCAUGAAUGUGAUCAUUAUGUACCUCAAACAAGUACUAAUAAAAGUAUUUUUAAAAUUGGCAUUUGAAACAA